GACUCCAGAAGUCGGAAUCGCUAGUAAUCGCGAAUCAGCAUGUCGCGGUGAAUACGUUCCCGGGCCUUGUACACACCGCCCGUCACACCAUGGGAGUUUGUUGCACCAGAAGCAGGUAGUCUAACCGAAAGGAGGGCGCUUGCCACGGUGUGGCCGAUGACUGGGGUGAAGUCGUAACAAGGUAGCCGUAGGGGAACCUGCGGCUGGAUCACCUCCUUU
rnacentral:rRNA from 1 species